GGGCCGGAAGGGCUCCUGCGCAGGCGUUUGUAGCCACUUUUAAGUUUUAUCAGCUAGUUCAUGCUUGCGUUGAAAGAGUGGUCGUUUGCGCUGGGUCAUCACUGUGUAGUAUUGGGGAUACUUAGGUGAGAAAAAAACUUAACGCUAGAGACGUUCACGCACUAGUGGAGAAGCCAGGAUUGUUGCCCUAGAGUUACAGUAGAUAAAAGUACCUCAGAGAACUGCGGGGGCUCCCAACCUGGACGCUUGCACCGGAGUAUUAAAUCCAGCUAGAGAAUGGCAUGUGCAAAGAUACAGAGCUACAGUCAAAUGGGCAGCUGAAGAUGAUGAUGAUGAUGAUCUUGACACCGAGAAGCAGAAGACCAAUGAAGAUGACCAGACAGCAAAAAAGGAUAAGUUAAAAGAAGGGCCUUCUUACAGAUGGAUAAAUGCGGCACUGGCUAGCGGUACAGAGAGAUGGAGCCCAGGAGAAAACUGCUGCUCUUUUGUCCUGGCUGGAAAAUCCUCCUAUGGCCUCCUUUAGUACACAUCAGCUGACUCUUCACUUGUCAUAAUAAACCGCCUGUCUGCAGCUCAAAAUGGCAAGAAAAAAGGUGGUUCUGUUCAGAGGACACUGGAUUCCAAAAGGUGGACUUCAUCAUGGGGGGAAUCAAGUCCUGCUACACAAUUAAUACAGAUUAGUAUAGUCCCCUGCCUCGCACCACUGGCGAGAUGCCCUCCAAGACCUGGCUGACAUGAGCUUCCUGGGACUCCCCAUCUCCAGUGUUGUUGGGGUCCUUUUACCUGUACCGUAUUAAUCGAAUAAUCUUAUUGUUCAUAAAAUCCAGAGCAUGUGGGUGAGAAGAAUCGAUGCAGAAGCCAUCGCUCAGAGCGAUUUUCAGUACCUCUUCCACGAAGACCUGGAAGCUGUUGAUCUGCUUGUUGGCGGGCACCACCCAGAGCCUCUUGAGGUUCUGCUUGGUGUACUCCUCCUCUGGCAGGCCCUCCACAUUGGCCACCCAGUCCAGAGUCAGGUGGUUGGGGUCCUGCAAGUGGCUGGUGAUGGAGGAGAGAUUGCCAUUGGAGCAGUAGAAGAGCUUAGAGCCAAGGAGCUUGAGGAAGAGGCAGGAGGUGCUGAAGAUGUUGGCGUUGAAGACCUCCAUGCUGGAAGAGGAGAGGCUGUAGAUCUGGGGUGCCUCGCGCACAGUGAAGUGGACCGUCUGCACACGCUGGUUCAGUGUGAUGUUGAGCAUGGCAUUCUUCUCGGCCUUGGAGAGCUCCACUUCCUUCUCCUGCAGGGCCUCAAUCAGGGGCUGCACCUGGUAGAAGUCGGCCUCCCUGCGGAGCAGCCCCAUCUCCUGGAAGUCCUCAGGCAGGUCAAGGUGGGAGGUCCGCAGGAAGUUGAGGAUAUAGCGGAACACUUUGCCGUCACGGUCAAUGAAGCAGUUGCCCUGGCUGUCCCUCUUGGUGGGCAUCUUCCCGCUGAACAUGGCGCCUAGCAUGGAGUCAGGGAAGCUGGUCAGGGUCGCCAGUGAGGUUGUAUAGAGCUUCCCCCCGACGUUCAGCGUGAUGGGGUCGGACAUGGCAGGAGACUGGGUUGCUGGAAGUAGUCCUGGAGAGGGUGAGAAGUGAGAAAUGACUAUAACCAAACCUUAUCAGAGAACUCACAGUCCUUAACUCCUUAUUGUACAUCAAGCCUAUGCCCUUGGGAUCGAAAUGAAUUAAUACCUGAUGAAUGGGUGAUAAUUGCUAACACUGUGCAAAGUACAUUAGCUUCACUAGGGAGAGGGAAAGGAGAAAGGGAAAAGGAAAGGAAAAAGGAAACAGGGAAAGAAAGGGAAGGACCCCUAAAGCCUGGGUCCCCCGCGCCCCCCUCUGCUGCCGACAUUCUAUUUUAAUUGGUCUGGAAUACUGCCCCAGCCCUGGUAUUUUGAAAGAGUUCCCUUAGUGAUUCUAAAUGUUCAGUUAGAAUAGAGAACCACUGGUCUAAAGAAAGAAAGGAAAACGUGCCUGGACUGAAAGCUAUGCUACGUGUUUAUACAUAUAUUUGCUUACAUAAUAGUUGUAUCAGCCAGGUGCGGUGGCUCACACCUGUAAUCCCAGCACUUAGGGAGGCCGAGGCGGGCAGAUCACCUGAGAUCAGGAGUUCAAGAUCAGACUGGCCAACAUGGUGAAACCCCAUCUCUACUAAAAAUACAAAAAUUAGCUGGGCAUGGUGGUGGGUGCCUGUAAUCCCAGCUGUUCAGGAGGCUGGGGCAGGAGAAUCAUUUGAACUCAGGAGGUGGAGGUUGCAGUGAGCCGGGACUGAACAACUGCACUCCAGCCUGGACAACAAG
ensembl:lncRNA KCTD21-AS1 KCTD21 antisense RNA 1